UAAGGCCGUUAUUAAACUUAAAGCAAACAUCGUUUGAGAAUCGAGUGCAGCGUGCGGUUCUCCGCGCGUCGCAACACCGAGAACCGGUGUUGUCGGGAAACGGUCGACAGCAAUAAACUUUCGACACCGGGAAAUCACUAGUUUCAGGACGCGGAGGUAGCUAGGACGAGUGCUGUUGAGGAAAGCGCCGCGCCGCGCGCCGGUUCCCUCGCUUGAUAUACCGGCAGUUCCGUCUGCUGGAAGCAGAAUCGCAAAACGGUCAGAAGUGGAAGGGAACGAGAGAGAGAAGACCUGCAGGAGAGAGGAAGAAUACUGAAAGAAGAAAUACUAGUACCGGGUACACACGCCGUUUCUCCUCGUUCCUCCAGGAGCGCGUCGUGACUCCUCGAGACUUGAAUCUAAUCGAUUUUAAAGACUACCACAGCGGAAAUGAUAUCUGUAUCUCUGUGGGCGAAGAUCAUCUGUCGAAACCUUGAAGAACCUGUUGCCCACGAAACCGCUGAUUUCCACCAGGUAUUUGUUUCGCGACGCAAAAACGCUCAGCCAUGCAGAACGAAGUGGCGACGGGUGAUCGACUUCAUUCACUAUUUGCGUCUCUCUCUCUCUCCCUCUCUUGAUUACCGUGGUUGAAAAUGAUAGCACGAAUCGCUUCUACUGUGGUCGCGCGAUCUGUCUCUAGCCGACCGGCAUUCCCUCAGCUCGGUUAAAGACCCGAACGACUUAAGACCUAGCCUAACGUAGGGUCCCAUAGAAACCCUUCCUACCUUACGUGCCGACACGAUGACUCGUAUCGAUACGCGUGUGCGUGAACACGUACGUGCACAUGCACGCACACAUCCACGGCCACGCGUAGCGACUGACGCUGAAGGAAGAGUACGUACGGCCAUUUUGUUAUAUAACUCGCACGCGAGAAGCCUCCUCCUCUAGAGGCCAAGAAAAAGGCUAAGACAAUGCCGCCUUGCGGCUUCGAUCGUAUAAGGAUCGUCUCUAGAAUGCAACGACCCCUUCGUCCGGAGGCCUAUAGAGUUACGAGUAAUGACGAAAGUUGCGCUUCCCCGCUCGAGACACGGCUUUGCCGCUCCUUUGCUUGUUUAUUGUCUUACACUUAAUAAUACAUAGUUGUAUAAUAACGCUAUAAUGAAUAAGAUGUAAUGAUGUAAUGAGUUGUUAAUUUUAUGAUAACCCGUCCACGCAUAGUUCAAUGAAUCUCUUGAAUUCAGUUGCUCACCUGCAGAGUUUGCCUCGCCACUUUGAAAUAGUAGGACGAGUGAAAGACACAGACUGUUUUAGCGACUUUGCAUCGAGACUGAGAAACCGAGCUGUUCCUCAGGCGUCAGGCGCGAGAUCCCGGGGCCCCGAGGGAGGAUUUACGUCCCGAAACGAAGGGAGGCGAUACAUGGGAUUCCCCGCGCGUGGAUCGGGAAAAGAAUUUGCGAACACGGUCCCGGGAGUCCGGUGUCUCUUUCUCCUUUGGGGAAAUGGAGGCCUCCUCGCGAAGGGAGACUAAGAAUAUGAGGAUUCGUGGUAAUCGAAUAGAUUACCCAAAGGCCGUUGGCCGUUCGUACGUCCUGGUAUCCAGGCUGACCAUUGUCGGCCAUUUUUCUCUUUUGAGCAGGCUAUUUAUCCCACGAACCUGUGAACGGGUCCGCGACCACCUCGCAUUCCACACUGGGCGGAGAACAAUGAACGAAGACAGAAAGAAUCUUAAAUUCUAUAAUUACCGGGUAAUCUCCGAGCUAUCACUAAAAAAAAAAAAAAAAUGCAAUAAUUGGAGAAAAAAUAAUAAAAACUAAAAUUCGUAGCGUAAAUUUGCGUUGUGAUUUCUAUCGUUUGUGUGAAAUCAGAUGCCGUUUUAAAAAAUCCUAAACUAUUUCACCUCAAUUUGAUCAUUUUUUAAUUUUCCUAUCCGCGUUAUAUAAUAUAAUUUAAAGAAAACUCUAAGAAAAUCAAUCUUUCAUCUUAUUUAGGUCGUCCGUAUCAGUUCAGUAUUGGCUCUUUCCGGAACAUCGAUAUCUAUGUCACGAUUCGUUACUCAAGCCGGCGUGAGUAGCCUUGGAUUCUCGCACAGGUCUUUGCACCGCUUGAUGCAUAAUAUGCGUCGGCUGGAACUGAAUCACGCGCAGAAAAUGACGAAAAAAAUUCGCCAAGGAUUACCCGUUCUGAAUCAUCUCAGCGAGCAUUGUACGUCAAUCUUCCUAUUUCUCUCUCGCCGCGGUAACUACCCUUCGGCCGACCGAGAUGAUAAAUGGGCGUGAUUUUCAAAUGCACUUAUGCGAAGCGAAAGAGUAACCAACGUCAACGUCCGAUACUUUAUUUCUACCGAUAGUUCAUUUUUAUUUAAGACGAGUUGCACUCAUUGACACGAGUUUGCAACAACAAUCUUAGAUCAGCGGCGAAUUGCUGUUAUUGUUAGAAGAACAAUAAUCUCUGAGAAGCAGAACAAUAGCGCAAUUAUAUAUCACUAUAUACAGAAUAUUCUUUUUAGAAUUUACUCUCAAAAUUAUAGUAGUUCUAGGACGUGACAUUAUAAAAAAAUUUUACUAAAAUUAAUAAAUUAAUCAAUAAUUUUUAAUGUUUAAAAAUUAAUAAUUUUAGUAAAAAUUAAUUUAGUAAAUUUUAACCAUAUUUUUAAUAAUUCGGCCGUAACUAUAUUUUAUUGUAGCAGAUAUUGAUAAUUCAGAGAAAAUCGCAUAAAAUUCUUUGAAAUACCAAGUUGUUUCACGACUGUGUGAUUUGAAAGGGUACUAUAAAAUCUAAAAAAAAAUUCUCUCCGUGUGCGUUUAUUAUCUAUCUCCGUUAUAGCAUUUAUUACCUAUUUAUUACGUAUAUUUCAUGAAAGCGAAACACAAAUACCUCUCGAAAGCUACAAUAAAGAAAGACCGAAAGUGCAUGCACUCUGUAAUUAUAGCGGUAGAAUCACAGGGUGAGUCGUGGCAUUACAUCCUUUGCCUUAUUAUGUAACGUCUCUAGAACGCGACGUUUACGUUUAACAAGGAAACUGGAUUCGUCCCGGGUACAAGCGUAUCAAAAGCGUACAUACGAACGUACGUGCCUCAUCCCCUGCUUCGCCGUCGAAGGCAUACGAGGGAGCCGUAUGCGCGGCUCGUUUUUACUCAACUCCCCCUC